ACUGCACAACAUCUGAUCACAUUGUAAAGGUUUAAUAUAACUGCAUGACAGAUAACAUCUGAUCACAUUGUAAAGAUUUAAUAUAACUGCACAACAUCUGAUCACAUUGUAAAGAUUUAAUAUAACUGCACAACAUCUGAUCACAUUGUAAAGGUUUAAUAUAACUGCAUGGCAGGUAAUAUCUGAUCACAUUAUAAAGGUUUAAUAUAAAUGCACAACAGAUCACAUUGUAAAUAUUUAAUAUAACUGCACAACAUCUGAUCACAUUGUAAAGGUUUAAUAUAACUGCAUGACAGAUAACAUCUGAUCACAUUGUAAAGAUUUAAUAUAACUGCAC